CCUAGAAUGCUCGGAUGAGGUGUGGGUAGGGGUGAAAUGCCAAUCGAACACGGAGAUAGCUGGUUCUCCUCGAAAUGCAUUUAGGUGCAGCGUGUUGUGUUUACCGUCGGAGGUAGAGCACUGAAUGGGCUAGGGGCCCUACCGGGUUACUGAUCCCAAUCAAACUCCGAAUGCCGACGGUCCAAGCAGCGCAGUGAGACAGUGGGGGAUAAGCUUCAUUGUCAAAAGGGAAACAGCCCAGACCCACAGCUAAGGUCCCUAAGUGGCGACUAAGUGUAAAAGGAUGUGAACUUGCGUAAACAGCCAGGAUGUUGGCUUAGAAGCAGCCACCAUUUAAAGAGUGCGUAACAGCUUACUGGCCGAAUGCAGGUUUGCGCCGAUAAUGUAUGGGGGCUCAAGUCGCCCACCGAAGCUUGGGAAGUCAGAGUUUACUCUGGCUUGGUAGAGGAGUGUUGUGUGCGGGGUGAAGCAGUAGCGUAAGCAGCUGUGGACUGCACACAAGUACGGAUGCAGGCAUAAGUAGCGCGAAGACGGGUGCGAAUCCCGUCCACCGAAAGCCUAAGGUUUCCGCAGUACAGUUCGUCUGCUGCGGGUCAGUCGGUCCUAAGGCGAGGCCACUUGGCGUAGUCGAUGGCUGUCAGGUUUAUAUUCCUGAACCGGGCGUAAAGGUUAAACUAGCAGGGACACUUUGGAAAAACCUCCCUAGGUUGUUGGUCUGCCGAGCGGAUUCCUUCGGGAUGAGGCGCAGGAGGGGUUUCUGGGGUCGAGAAAAGCUGACUAGGUACAAUACGUUCGACCGUACCGCAAACCGACACAGGUAGGCAGGUAGAGGAUACUAAGGUGUUCGAGAGAACUCUCGUUAAGGAACUAGGCAAUCUAGCCCCGUAACUUCGGGAGAAGGGGUGCCUCUAGCAAUAGAGGUCGCAGUGAAAUGGCUCGAGCGACUGUUUACCAAAAACACAGGUCUCUGCUAAGUCGAAAGACGACGUAUAGGGGCUGACGCCUGCCCAAUGCCAGAAUGUUAACAGGAGAUGUCAGGGCCUUCGGGUUUGAAGCAUUGAAUCGAAGCACUGGUGAAUGGCGGCCGUAACAAUAACGGUCCUAAGGUAGCGAAAUUCCUUGUCGGGUAAGUUCCGACCCGCACGAAUGGCGUAACGACUUGAGCGCUGUCUCAACGAGAGACUCGGCGAAAUUGUAGCAUGCGUGAAGAUGCGCAUUACCCGCAACAGGACGGAAAGACCCCGUGGAGCUUUACUACACCCUAACGUUGCUGCCCGGCCUAGCUUGUAGAGCGUAGGUGGGAGGCAGUUUACUGUCGCCAAUGGAACACCACCCUGGCUAUGUUGGGUAGCUAACCCGCGCCGUUAUCCGGCAAGGGAACCGCGUUAGGCGGGUAGUUUGACUGGGGCGGUCGCCUCCCU
rnacentral:rRNA from 1 species